rnacentral:rRNA from 1 species
AACGAACGCUGGCGGCAUGCCUAACACAUGCAAGUCGAACGAGACCUCCGGGUCUUGUGGCGCACGGGUGCGUAACGCGUGGGAACCUGCCCUUAGGUACCGAAUAAUUCCCUGUAGGGGGUGCUAAUACCGGAUAAUGUAUUCGGACCAAAGAUUUAUCGCCUUUGGAUGGGCGCGCGAUGGUUUAGCUAGUUGGUAGGGUAAAAGCCUAUCAAGGCGACGUUCCUUAGCUGGUCUGAGAGGAGGAUCAACCACACUGGGGCUGAGACACGGCCCAGAAUGCUACGGGAGGGAGGAGAGGGGAAUACAGGACGAUGGGGGAAGGCCUGAUCCCGCAGUGCCGCGGAAGUGAUGAUGGCGUUAGGGUAGUGCAGCUGUUUUAGACGGGGCGAUAAUGACGGUACCGGGAGAAUAAGCACCGGCUAACUCCGUG